UGAGUAACCUGUCCUCCACUCUGGGAUAAGCCCGGGAAACUGGGUCUAAUACCGGAUAUGACCUCCUGUCUCAUGGCGGGUGGUGGAAAGUUUUUUCGGUGGGGGAUGGACUCGCGGCCUAUCAGCUUGUUGGUGAGGUAAUGGCUUACCAAGGCGACGACGGGUAGCCGGCCUGAGAGGGCGACCGGCCACACUGGGACUGAGACACGGCCCAGACUCCUACGGGAGCAG
rnacentral:rRNA from 1 species